GGGGAGGCCUUGCGCCCCCGGGCCCGCGCCCGCCGAAGACCCCAACAGAACGCUGUUCUGAAAGUAUGCAGUCUGAGUUGAUUAUCGUAAUCAGUUAAAACUUUCAACAACGGAUCUCUUGGUUCCGGCAUCGAUGAAGAACGCAGCGAAAUGCGAUAAGUAAUGUGAAUUGCAGAAUUCAGUGAAUCAUCGAGUCUUUGAACGCACAUUGCGCCCCCUGGUAUUCCGGGGGGCAUGCCUGUCCGAGCGCAGCGCCCUCAAGCACGGCUUGUGUGUUGGGCCCCCGUCCCCCUCUCCCGGGGGACGGGCCCGAAAGGCAGCGGCGGCACCGCGUCCGGUCCUCGAGCGUAUGGGGCUUUGUCACCUGCUCUGUAGGCCCGGCCGGCGCCAGCCGACACCCAACUUUAUUUUUCUAAGGUUGACCUCGGAUCAGGUAGGGAUACCCGCUGAACUUAAGCAUAUCAAUAAGCGGAGGAA
rnacentral:rRNA from 1 species